rnacentral:lncRNA from 1 species
CGUAUAUGUUGUUAUAUAAUCAUCUUUUUUAUUUUCAUCUUUUUUUUUUUCCUUUUCAAAGUUAGCACAAUAUUAAGUUUAUGAGGUGAUAAAUUACUGAUAAACUAGUUUUUGGCCAAACAAUUUGCCAUUUAGUUAAAAAAAACAUUGAUAUUUGUAUAAAUGAAUAAAUCAAAUCCAUGUGAACCUAUCAGACCAAUAU